UUUAUGGAGAGUUUGAUCCUGGCUCAGGAUGAACGCUGGCGGCGUGCCUAAUACAUGCAAGUCGAGCGAACAGAUAAGGAGCUUGCUCCUUUGACGUUAGCGGCGGACGGGUGAGUAACACGUGGGUAACCUACCUAUAAGACUGGAAUAACUCCGGGAAACCGGGGCUAAUGCCGGAUAACAUGUUGAACCGCAUGGUUCUACAGUGAAAGACGGUCUUGCUGUCACUUAUAGAUGGACCCGCGCCGUAUUAGCUAGUUGGUGGGGUAACGGCCUACCAAGGCGACGAUACGUAGCCGACCUGAGAGGGUGAUCGGCCACACUGGAACUGAGACACGGUCCAGACUCCUACGGGAGGCAGCAGUAGGGAAUCUUCCGCAAUGGGCGAAAGCCUGACGGAGCAACGCCGCGUGAGUGAUGAAGGUCUUCGGAUCGUAAAGCUCUGUUGUUAGGGAAGAACAAAUGUGUAAGUAACUGUGCACAUCUUGACGGUACCUAACCAGAAAGCCACGGCUAACUACGUGCCAGCAGCCGCGGUAAUACGUAGGUGGCAAGCGUUAUCCGGAAUUAUUGGGCGUAAAGCGCGCGUAGGCGGUUUUUUAAGUCUGAUGUGAAAGCCCACGGCUCAACCGUGGAGGGUCAUUGGAAACUGGAAAACUUGAGUGCAGAAGAGGAAAGUGGAAUUCCAUGUGUAGCGGUGAAAUGCGCAGAGAUAUGGAGGAACACCAGUGGCGAAGGCGGCUUUCUGGUCUGCAACUGACGCUGAUGUGCGAAAGCGUGGGGAUCAAACAGGAUUAGAUACCCUGGUAGUCCACGCCGUAAACGAUGAGUGCUAAGUGUUAGGGGGUUUCCGCCCCUUAGUGCUGCAGCUAACGCAUUAAGCACUCCGCCUGGGGAGUACGGUCGCAAGACUGAAACUCAAAGGAAUUGACGGGGACCCGCACAAGCGGUGGAGCAUGUGGUUUAAUUCGAAGCAACGCGAAGAACCUUACCAAAUCUUGACAUCCUUUGACCGCUCUAGAGAUAGAGUUUUCCUCUUCGGAGGACAAAGUGACAGGUGGUGCAUGGUUGUCGUCAGCUCGUGUCGUGAGAUGUUGGGUUAAGUCCCGCAACGAGCGCAACCCUUGAACUUAGUUGCCAUCA
rnacentral:rRNA from 1 species